rnacentral:misc_RNA from 1 species
UACGUAGGGUCCGAGCGUUGUCCGGAAUUAUUGGGCGUAAAGAGCUCGUAGGCGGCGUGUCGCGUCUGCUGUGAAAGACCGGGGCUUAACUCCGGUUCUGCAGUGGAUACGGGCAGACUUGAGUGUUGCAGGGGAGACUGGAAUUCCUGGUGUAGCGGUGAAAUGCGCAGAUAUCAGGAGGAACACCGGUGGCGAAGGCGGGUCUCUGGGCCUUACCUGACGCUGAGGAGCGAAAGCGUGGGGAGCGAACAGG